rnacentral:rRNA from 1 species
GACGAACGCUGGCGGCGUGCCUAAUACAUGCAAGUAGAACGCUGAAGGAGGAGCUUGCUCUUCUGGAUGAGUUGCGAACGGGUGAGUAACGCGUAGGUAACCUGCCUGGUAGCGGGGGAUAACUAUUGGAAACGAUAGCUAAUACCGCAUAACAUUGACUAUUGCAUGAUAGUCAAUUAAAAGGUGCACAUGCACCACUACCAGAGGGACCUGCGUUGUAUUAGCUAGUUGGUGGGGUAACGGCUCACCAAGGCGACGAUACAUAGCCGACCUGAGAGGGUGAUAGGCCAAACUGGGACUGAGACACGGCCCAGACUCCUACAGGAGGCAGCAGUAGGGAAUCAUCGGCAAUGGAAGGAAGUCUGAGCGAGCAAAGCCGCGUGAGGGAAGAAGGUUUUCGGAUCGUAAAGAUCUGUUGUAAGAGAAGAACGAGUGUGAGAGUGGAAAGUUCACACUGUGACGGUAUCUUACCAGAAAGGGACGGCUAACUACGUG